GUCUCAGAUAUUUGGCCCAAAUGAAAUCCAUAUAGAUAUUUCAGAGGAUUAGGGUUUCUUAUUCUCUCACUUCUUCUUUGAGUUUCCGCCGCUUCCUUGUUUUCAUCAUCUGUGAGUUAGGGUUUCAGCCGCCGCCGUUAUGCUAUGAACAUCUAUCUCUUAUCGUUCCAUAUUUUUGUCUUACCAUGAUGACGACUUCCAAAGACAGCUAUCAUCAUACAGGAUUCAGGAGGAUCAGUCGUUUAGUUGCGAGAGUUCCUCUUCAAAGAAACGAUGUUGAACUCGUUUCCAUCAACAAUCCUUUCAUCACUACUGAUUACACUGACAUAUAUGUUCAAGUUUUAUUCUGUUCAUGACUAGUGGAAGCAUUUUAAACUUAAGGAACCCUGGAGAGAUCCCAUGGAUGAAGUUGGAGCUGCUUUUGUUGUUGAGUUUACUGGUGUUUUCACUGAUAAAGAUAAAGCUGCUGCCCACUUGAAGGGUGUUGCCAAGAAAAUUGUUAUUCAACAUCAUUCCAGCAGCACAAGAUGCCAAGCAGGAAUUAACCAACUAUACUGGUGUAGAAAUUACAAAGGAAGUUAAUAUUCUGUUUAUAUCACAGGGGCUGGAAGAUAGCAGUAAAGAGGAUUUUUGUUCACUAUGUUAUGAAAUUUAAAUGCAUUUAUGAAUUUAUUAUUGGCUAUUUAAAACUGCAUUUAUGGAUUUGUAAUGCAUUUUUGUUGAAUGUUAAUGUGUUGAAUGUUACUGCA